rnacentral:rRNA from 1 species
CAUUAAAGAGUAAGGGUGCUCAGCGCCCGACCUCCAACCCUUUGUUGUUAAAACUACCUUGUUGCUUUGGCGGGACCGCUCGGUCUCGAGCCGCUGGGGAUUCGUCCCAGGCGAGCGCCCGCCAGAGUUAAACCAAACUCUUGUUAUUUAACCGGUCGUCUGAGUUAAAAUUUUGAAUAAAUCAAAACUUUCAACAACGGAUCUCUUGGUUCUCGCAUCGAUGAAGAACGCAGCGAAAUGCGAUAAGUAAUGUGAAUUGCAGAAUUCAGUGAAUCAUCGAAUCUUUGAACGCACAUUGCGCCCCUUGGUAUUCCGAGGGGCAUGCCUGUUCGAGCGUCAUUACACCACUCAAGCUAUGCUUGGUAUUGGGCGUCGUCCUUAGUUGGGCGCGCCUUAAAGACCUCGGCGAGGCCACUCCGGCUUUAGGCGUAGUAGAAUUUAUUCGAACGUCUGUCAAAGGAGAGGAACUCUGCCGACUGAAACCUUUAUUUUUCUAGGUUGACCUCGGAUCAGGUAGGGAUACCCGCUGAACUUAAGCAUAUCAAUAAGCGGAGGAAAAGAAACCAACAGGGAUUGCCCUAGUAACGGCGAGUGAAGCGGCAACAGCUCAAAUUUGAAGCUAGCCUUCGGGUUCGCAUUGUAAUUUGUAGAGGAUGAUUUGGGGAAGCCGCCUGUCUAAGUUCCUUGGAACAGGACGUCAUAGAGGGUGAGAAUCCCGUAUGUGACAGGAAAUGGCACCCUAUGUAA